rnacentral:rRNA from 1 species
AGGACGAACGCUGGCGGCGUGCCUAACACAUGCAAGUCGAACGGGACCAGGGGCAACUCUGGUUCAGUGGCGGACGGGUGCGUAACACGUGAGGAACAUGACCUUCGGCGGGGGAUAGCCGGCCCAACGGCCGGGUAAUACCGCGUACGACCAUCCGGGGACAUCCCUGGGUGGUGAAAGCAGCAAUGCGCCGAUGGAGUGCCUCGCGGCCUAUCAGCUAGUUGGUGAGGUAACGGCUCACCAAGGCGACGACGGGUAGCUGGU